CCUAAAGACGUUGACAUUGCUCUUUGUGUGCCGGAUCUGGCAAAUAGAAAGUUUCGCAAGAAGUCCUUUGUUCGUUUCAUCUGUCGCAGUCUCGCAAAAUUGAUUUGUCAAGCAGCCACAUUAAAAAUUGACAACUAGACAAAUACCAAAACGAGCCGGCGAUGGAAAUACGUGGAAGGUUUUCCAAGAUGAAUGGCCAUCCCACAUCAUCUUUAGGGCCAGCUGGCAGGCCAAACUGCUCGAUUUCUAUUCUAUUCAAGCACGUUUCGGGCCUGUCCAUUGUUAAUCAGUCGAGUUUUUCGGUUUGACAUAUUUUGAGAGGCCACUUGCCCGGGGACACUAAAAGUUUUUCAAUAUUUUCCGUUGGCACGACAAUAUCAGUGAUGCAAAUUAUUGUGCAUGCAUGCGUGAAUGUGAAUAUUUAAUUUCGUGUCUGCAAGGAACCUACAUAUGACAAAAACUAAAAUCAUAUAUUUUUAUGGUACAGCUCGUUUCGGAACCAGAUAAAUGAAGCAAGUUUGCAGAGGGUCAUUUCAUGGCUGGGAUCUGAAAUUGGUUAAGUUUGCUCAAUGUUGGGAAACGUGCCUUAAAGUACAGGGAAAACUUAUGAGCAAAGUUUUGGAAACUGCUUGUAUUAAUUUAGAGUCUUAAAUGUAUGCAACGCAGUCAUCAAUAUUUAAUUGGCAUAUUAAGCCAGCUCCACACCUAAUCUCCUUCAACCUAAUGACCAACAAAGUUCUCCAUGAAUCACCUGCCAUUUUGAGAUGCUUUACUUAUGCAUGACUCCUCCGAUUGCCUCUCUUGUGGCUGGAAACCACACUCUCAAGGAUGCUAACACACAUAGAUCGACUGGCCGAAUCGUUUAUUUUAUGCACAAGCACUUCCGAACCACAUCGCAAAUUUUAUAACAAACAUUAAUUUCGGUUAAUAACUUUAUAAGACAAACUA